rnacentral:miRNA from 1 species
AAUUCCAUUCCUCUUUCUGUCUCC